GGCUCAGGACGAACGCUGGCGGCGUGCUUAACACAUGCAAGUCGAACGAUGAACCACUUCGGUGGGGAUUAGUGGCGAACGGGUGAGUAACACGUGGGCAAUCUGCCCUUCACUCUGGGACAAGCCCUGGAAACGGGGUCUAAUACCGGAUAACACUUCCACUCUCCUGAGUGGAGGUUAAAAGCUCCGGCGGUGAAGGAUGAGCCCGCGGCCUAUCAGCUUGUUGGUGAGGUAAUGGCUCACCAAGGCGACGACGGGUAGCCGGCCUGAGAGGGCGACCGGCCACACUGGGACUGAGACACGGCCCAGACUCCUACGGGAGGCAGCAGUGGGGAAUAUUGCACAAUGGGCGAAAGCCUGAUGCAGCGACGCCGCGUGAGGGAUGACGGCCUUCGGGUU
rnacentral:rRNA from 1 species